UGUGCCCAGAUGGGAUUAGCUAGUUGGUGAGGUAACGGCUCACCAAGGCGACGAUCCCUAGCUGGUCUGAGAGGAUGACCAGCCACACUGGAACUGAGACACGGUCCAGACUCCUACGGGAGGCAGCAGUGGGGAAUAUUGCACAAUGGGCGCAAGCCUGAUGCAGCCAUGCCGCGUGUAUGAAGAAGGCCUUCGGGUUGUAAAGUACUUUCAGCGGGGAGG
rnacentral:rRNA from 1 species